AAAUCAGGUGAUGAAAUUGGAUUCAAACUCUCACGACGGUCGUCUGAGACACAUCGUGUCAAAACUGAUGCAUUGAUCCAAUGUUUCUGAUGGUU